rnacentral:rRNA from 1 species
AUUGAACGCUGGCGGCAGGCCUAACACAUGCAAGUCGAACGAGUGGCGGACGGGUGAGUAAUGUCUGAGAAACUGCCUGAUGGAGGGGGAUAACUACUGGACACGGUCGCUAACACCGCAUACCCUCGGAUGUGCCCCGAUGGGAUUAGCUAGGAGGGGGGGUAAUGGCACACCUAGGCGACGAUCCGUAGCUGGUCUGAGAGGAUGACCAGCCACACUGGAACUGAGACACGGUCCAGACUCCUACGGGAGGCAGCAGUGGGGAAUAUUGCACAAUGGGCGCAAGCCUGAUGCAGCCAUGCCGCGUGUGUGAAGAAGGCCUUCGGGUUGUAAAGCACUUUCAGCGAGGAGGCGUUACUCGCAGAAGAAGCACCGGCUAACUCCGUGCCAGCAGCCGCGGUAAUAC